UAAAAACAGCAGGGGUGGCUGAACUCAGCCUGAGAUCAUACCCUUUGAACCUGAUUCGGAUAAUACCGGCGUAGGGAGCAGACGAUGACUUAAG
rnacentral:ncRNA from 2 species